rnacentral:lncRNA from 10 species
CACGUUCUCAGGCAUUAGCCAAGGGUCAAUCACAGUUCCAGACUCCGCUGCAGACAUGCUAGUAUUGAGCAACCAGGACCAGUGUGCUAACUUUUUCCUCAUAUCUAUGUCAACAUGUUUGGGAGUAGGAUGGAGACGAAACCCCAUGGUUGAGGGAGAGUGUGUAAAGCUCACUUUCAGGAAACCCUUACACCGAAGAUGACAGUGCUUAGGAAAAUAGAAGAAAAUCACUAUGGUGUUUGAAGAAAGGAAGAAAUGAAAGAUAAGGAAGAAGGAAGAAUGGGGAAGAAGGAAGAUAUAGGAGAAUCAGCAGUGAGAUGAAGGAAGAUCAAAAAGAAAGAAGGGAGAGACAAAUAAGUAAUCAAGAGGCACAGGAAAACAGAAAAGGAAAAUGGCAGAGCAAAAACAUAAGAAUAAUGGAAGCCAGGCAUUGGCACACUAUGAUCCCUAGACCAAAUCCAGCUCAUUGCCUGUUUUUGUACAGCCUGACCUAACAAUGUUUUUUCUAGCUUUAAACAACUGAAAACAAACAAACAAAAACAAAAACAAAAAAACAGAAAAAGAAACAGUGCUUUGUGGUAUGUAUAAAGCUUACAUUUGUGUUUAUAAAUAAAUUGAAUAAAGCUUACAUUUGUGUUUAUAAAUAAAGUUUUAUUGCAUGCAUUAAAAAAAGAAACCCAUUAGUCUUUCCUAAAGAAACGUAUUUGUUCUUCCCAUAGGCUGUUUCUCCUAAAUUAUGUAUGUAAGCCUUACCUUUAACCAUUUAACAUCACCUUCUUUUGUUGGCUACUAUGUUCAUAUGCAUAUGAAUAAAACUUUUUC